GCACCACUUGGACGGCCGACCUGC
rnacentral:siRNA from 1 species